AACGCACGAGACCUGCGGACCUGCGGAGGGAUCAUUAAUGAGAAACUGCCCCUCGCGGGUAGAUCUCCCACCCUUUGUAAACUUACCUUUGUUGCUUUGGCAGGCCCGUCUCCGGACCGCCGGCUUCGGCUGGCCAGUGCCUGCCAGAGGAUUCUAAAACUCUGUCUGUCAGUGUUGUCUGAGUCUAUGUACAAUCGUUAAAACUUUCAGCAACGGAUCUCUAGAUCGGAAGAGCACACG
rnacentral:misc_RNA from 1 species